AGUGUGUUUUUCGAGUGUCUUGCGGUAUAUAAGGCGAUGGUCAGAGUGUGUUAGGCAUCACUUCAUUUCACUUCUUUCUCAGCAGACAUGUGGGCUAAGAUUGUCAUGAUGGUGGUGGCGGCUCUGGUGUUCCUGGGCACAGCUGAGGCGGCUCCUGGCUAUGUUGGCGGCUACGGUGGCGGCUAUGGUGGCGGCCACGGUGGCGGAUAUGGUGGCGGCUACAGUGGCGGCUACGGUGGCGGAUAUGGAGGCUAUGGAGGAGGUUAUGGUUACGGCAGAUAAGACACCUGGGCCGCCCUCCACACCUGACCAGCUCACCUGUACGUCUUCUUAAUUAUAAAUAUAUUCAUAAAAUGUA